CCAGAACCAGAACCGGGCCUACGUACGAAUCCAGGGAAGUGGUAGUGGAGGCCGUGCUGGGCCAGCUUAGCCAGAACCAGAACCGGACCAGAACCAGAACUACGUACGAAUCCAGGGAAGUGGUAGUGGAGGCCGUGCUGGGCCAGCUUAGCCAGAACCAGGUAACGGACCAGAACCAGAACCAGAACCGGGCCUACGUACGAAUCCAGGGAAGUGGUAGUGGAGGCCGUGCUGGGCCAGCUUAGCCAGAACCAGGUAACGGAUCAGAACCAGAACCAGAACCAGAACCAGAACUACGUACGAAUCCAGGGAAGUGGUAGUG